rnacentral:rRNA from 1 species
UACGGGGGGAGCAAGCGUUGUUCGGAUUUACUGGGCGGAAAGGGCGCGUAGGCGGCCACCGCAAGUCAGUUGUGAAAUCUCUGGGCUUAACCCAGAAAGGUCAACUGAUACUGCGGGGCUAGAGUGCAGAAGGGGCAACUGGAAUUCUCGGUGUAGCGGUGAAAUGCGUAGAUAUCGAGAGGAACACCUGCGGCGAAGGCGGGUUGCUGGGCUGACACUGACGCUGAGGCGCGAAAGCUAGGGGAGCGAACGGG